rnacentral:lncRNA from 1 species
CCUUUCCAAGAGAUCAUGUUUCCAAAGGGAGAGUCUUGGGAAAUUUUGACUGCCCAGUAAAUCUAACCCUAUUACAUCACACAUGCAGUUAAACACAGCCAAGGCCGCCCCAUUCACCAAGCCCCUGUCAUAACUCACCGCUGAUUGGUCCGCCUGUUGUAGGGCAAGAGGUUGUGAUUGGUUAAAAACGAGGGCAAGUCUCAACAAGACCUACUGACUGACUGACAUGGAAAAGAGGAAGAAUGGUCCUUACAUGGAGACAAAGGGACUUAAAGCAGAGCAACAUUUUAAAAUGUAUGUUGUGUUUACAUCAAAAUAAGUGUGUGGUUAAGCUUAGGGAAUGGAUGUUUUCUGUAUUUACUCCUUUAAUCUUUCUUUAUUUUGUCCAACCAGAACCUUUGUUUAAAUCUGAAUCAAAAGACCCUGGGAUACCCAACCAGCCUCCAAAACCUCUCCAGGUUGUUAAUGAUUAUUUUGAGCCCAUCUGUACACUAUUUGUUAUGAAAAUUAGCCCCUCUAAUGCCUCUUAAGUUGGCUCUGUUGACUGUUGUUAAUGGUGCUUAGGUAAGGUUAUGUAACGGCCCGCUCAGGAGAAAAAAAAAGAGGAAAAAAAGCAGAAGAGGGAAGUCCUGCAUACUGAGCUCACAUCUAAGACUCCGGCCAGACCCUUUCUGUUCUCUCAGUCCACGUUAGACAAAGCCUGUUUUCCUGCUUUUGCGUUCUGCUGCUGAGCAGCAUCUUAAAUGCAGGAGAGUAAAUCUUGUAAUCUGUCUGAAGUGUCUCUUGGAUGUUUCAGGAGUGUUUAAGAGAUCAAAUCUGCUUUUAUUCAGAGAGAGACUAAACAGAGCGCUUUUGUUAUGAUCAGGUGGAUUUAGAUGGAUGUUUUUCCUUCUUUCAGAGGAAGCUGUUUCAUGUCUUUUCAUCCCUCUCCUAAAAAAUCCUUUAAAUCAUUGAACUUUUCACCAAGAAUUAAAGCAAUGUGCCAAAUUCCUUUUACUUUUGUUGUUAUGAAAUGUUCUAAAAAGAUUCAAGGUAAGAACACUUGAUCUAAUCGUUUCCCCUCUACAGCUCUAAAUAUAACUGCAGAAAUAGCGCCGUCAUGAUCGGCCUCUGCUAUUCUGCACCAAGGUUGACCCUUUCCAGUCAUCCAAGUUAGCUUCUGAAUGCAGCAAACGUUUCUGCCAGCCUGUAGGCCGCCAAGAAGUCCAGCCACAUGGACACAGUCAUGAGAUCAGGCUGAAAUUGGGACGGAUUUGCAGUUUGUACAGUUAACCAGGUAACAGUAGGAAUUUAGAGGAAGACUAUUAACCAGGACUUCAUGGUUGUGCAGUAGUUAGAAGUGUUGCCUCAGAGUAAAGUGGCUCGGUUUGGUCGGACCUUUCUUUGUAGGGUCUCCCCAGGUACUCUCUAUAGGUCCAGAGUAGGGCUGGGCGAUAUGGGAAAAAGUUUAUCACAAUAUAUUUUUUUCAUAUCAGUCGAUAUCGAUGAAUGUCACAUAUAAAAAAUGAAAUUUGACAGUGCUUAUUGGCAUGUCUUUUACAAUACAAUGAGCUACUGCAUUUGUGAGGUCUUUGUGUCUCUUCCACGUUUUGUCAUAAGGUGUUGUGCUAGAGAAAGCAGACUGAAUGUUACAGCUGUCUUGGCUACACAGGCGGCGUGGGCUCCUUGCUCCACUCAGGGUUUGUAACCUUUUGCAUUGCGUGUGCUCUGCAGUGUGGCGCUGCUUCAGGUGAUGAAAAAGACCCAGGCGUGGACCUGGAGCAACUCCCCUUUUCAUUGGCUUUUUGUAUCCUCUACCUAAACAUGGCAGAAUGCAGACUAUCAAAAAGCAUAUUGACCAUGUUUUAUGUUGAUAUUGAGGGAAAUUAUUUUUCAAUAUAUAUCUUUUUCAUUCUAUCGCCCAGCCCUAGUCCAGAGAGACGAGCCUGCCUGUGAUAUGAAUGUGAGUGAUUGGGGGUUUUCUUGUCUCCAUGAUGGACUGAUAGCCUGUCUAAGUUGAACUCUGCCUCUUGUCUAGUGAGAUUGGCAAGAUCCCCCUUCCCCCAAACUGGUAGAGAUGAGCCAGAUAGAUAAUAAAUAGAUGACUGGACUCUCUCAGCUGCAGGAAACAUCUAUUAUCAGCUUUGGUUUUGUAAAUUUAAACAUGUUUAGGAGUUUAUUUUGUCAGAUAAAGUUCAGCUUCUUCAGUGGCCAGUAAAAAAAACUGAAAGCACAAAAGAUAAGCAAAAUUCAAGUCAAGUUUUUAUCGAGCUAAAACACGGAGAACAAUCAAAGUUGAAAGAAGUUGAUCUGUUGGCUGAAUUAUAAGAGAUGGAAUCAGCUGAAGUAUUAGUCUGUGUCAAAGAACUCAAAGGAGCUGGAUCAUCUGACGAAGCGUAAAGAGUACAGACAAAGGGGUGCCAGUGGCCUCGGGGUCCAAGCGAGUGCCCCAUAUAUGGAGGUUAUGCCUCAGGCCUGUGGCUCCUUUCCCCAAUGUCAAACCCUACUCUCUCUUUGUCCACUCUCUAACUUCUUUGACUUAUUCUGUAAAAUAAAAACACCAAAAAGCUUAAAAACAAAAAAUACCAAAGUUGCGAAGUUAUAAUAAAUGUUUUUAUUUUGGAGUUAAAGUUGAGACACAAAAUGUUGUUAAACCAUCAGAGUAAGAUUACACCUUUAAAAGGAAUUAUUGAUCACCGGGAAGAUUAAGGUUCAAUCCACUGAGUUCAUGUGAUCAUGAAGUCCUCCAAGACGUCCACGUUGGAGUUAAAGUGAGUUGCUAGGAAACUGAGAGGAUUACUGUCAAUAAAAGCUGACUUGAACUGAUCGAUGAAGAUGAUAAUGAAUCGUCUCAUUAAGGCUCUUAGUCUUGUGCAGCCAUAAAAAAACAACAAACAAAAAUGAAAUGAUCCUGAUGGUGUGGAGUCCAAAACCUGGUGUUCCACAUGUGAUCACCAACAUUUUAGAGGGCUUGUAAAGUUAGCUGAAGUGUUGCAGGAUGCCGGAUUUUAGUGAAAUGACAUUUUUGAAAAAUUAGAGUGUAAAAGAUUUAUUUAGUGAAACUGCCAUGAGAGCAUUUAAGACUGUAAAACAAGUUACAGAUACUUUAUGUGUAAAUCCAUGGGGUCUCAUUAAUGCGUCCUCCUCAUUUCCUUCCCCAUGACGCACAGUUUUUUGACCUCUGCAUUGUUUCUGUCCGUGUUUACUGACUUUUUGUACAUGUUCUCCUGAGUUUCUCCCAGUGUCAGUGGAGUAAUGUGAAACUGUUGGCUAAAUGGAGACUUAACCAAGUGUUAGUGCAAGAAAAACAAUACUUUAAGUGUCAGAAAGCAGCUGCUUUUUCAGUGUGAGGGUCAAAGUCGGGGCUGCCUAUGAAUGCAGACGAUAUUUUAGCCCGUCUGAACUUGUCUACGAAAUUCCAGAGUUGGAAACAGAGCAAAGUCCACAUUCUGAGUUUGAUACAAAAUGGUAAGUGAAGUUGAAAAUAGUCUGAGUUGCCUCUCUGAUUUUAUGUCCAAUUUCAUGUCAAUUAUUUACACCAAAAAUUAAAUUUAUAAUUUAAGAUUUGAACCGAAAUAUCAUCUGUUGUAAGAAUAAAACAUGAUCUUCUGCUCUAAACAAACAGUGAAGUUAGAAAUCAGAUCAGUUUCCUGUGGGGUUUUCUGGGGUUCCAAAGCUGCCAGACAAUAGAGGGCUUCACACACACACACACACACACACACACACACACACACACACACACACACACACACACACACACACACACACACACACACACACACACACACACACACACACACACACACACACACAGUCAUGCCUUUGUUUCCUCUCUCUUGUCUUGCAGAUCAGAUUAAACGCAGCAGCCGGUCCGAGUCAAACGCAGGUGCUGACCUGCAGAGAACUCGUCUCUUUGUCUCGCUGUGCGACCUGCUGACGGUGUCACAGAGAGCGCUGGUUUUCAGCAGAGAGGGACGACCCUGAUUGUUAUCACCUGGAUACCUGAUAAUGACAGAAAACUCAGGACCAGACACAGAACUAUGGCUGAACAAUAGUGAUACAUUAACCGUCAGUGCAAU